rnacentral:rRNA from 1 species
GACGAACGCUGGCGGCGUGCUUAACACAUGCAAGUCGAACGGAAAGGCCCUGCUUUUGUGUGGUGCUCGAGUGGCGAACGGGUGAGUAACACGUGAGUAACCUGCCCUUGACUUUAGGAUAACUUCAGGAAACUGGGGCUAAUACCGGAUAGGAGCUCCUGCUGCAUGGUGGGGGUUGGAAAGUUUCGGCGGUUGGGGAUGGACGCGCGGCUUAUCAGCUUGUUGGUGGGGGAGUGGCUUACCAAGGCUUUGACGGGUAGCCGGCCUGGGAGGGUGACCGGCCACAUUGGGACUGAGAGACGGCCCAGACUCCUACGGGGGGCAGCAGUGGGGAAUAUUGCACAAUGAGCGGAAGCCUGAUGCGGCAACGCCGCGGGCGGGAUGACGGCCUUCGGGUUGUAAACCGCUUUCGCCUGUGACGAAGCGUGAGUGACGGUAAUGGGUAAAGAAGCACCGGCUAACUACGUG